UCAAGCGAACAAGGGCGCAGGGCGAAUGCCUUGGCACUGGGAGCCGAUGAAAGACGUGAUAAGCUGCGAUAAGCUUCGGGGAGCUGCAAAUAAGCAUUGAUCCGGAGAUUUCUGAAUGAGGAAACUCACCUGGGUUCAUACUCAGGUACGUUAUACUGAACUUAAAAAUAGGUAUAUCGAGGGAACCGCCUGAACUGAAACAUCUAAGUAGGGCGAGGAAGAGACAUCAAACGAGAUUCCGUAAGUAGUGGCGAGCGAACGCGGAAGAGGGCAAACCGGGAGUAGAAAUACUUCCGGGGUACGGACCGCAUUUAGGACUUAAGUUGUUAACCGAACGGCAUGGGAAGGCCGGUCAGAGAGUGUGAGAACCACGUAGGUGAAAACGACAAGAGCUGAGCGAGUUCCAGAGUACGGCCAGACACGUGAAACCUGGUCGGAAUACGGGGGGACCACCCUCCAACCCUAAAUACUACCCAGUGACCGAUAGCGUAUAGUACUGUGAAGGAAAGGUGAAAAGCACCCCGGGAGGGGAGUGAAAAAGAACCUGAAACCCUGUGCCUACAAGCACCUAGAGCACGUCAAUGUGUGAUAGGGUACUUUUUGUAGAACGGUCCGGCGAGCGAUUGUAUGCAGCAAGGUUAAGGACUUAAGGUCUGGAGCCGAAGCGAAAGCGAGUUUGAAAAGGGCGUUAAGUUGCAUACAAUGGGCCCGAAACCGGGUGACCUACCCAUGGUCAGGUUGAAGUGGAAGUAAAAUUCCAUGGAGGACCGAACCGACCUCCGUUGAAAAGGCGGCGGAUGAACUGUGGGUAGCGGAGAAAUUCCAAUCGAACCCGGAGAUAGCUGGUUCUCCCCGAAAUAGUUUUAGGACUAGCCUCAAGUUAGAUACCUGGAGGUAAAGCACUGAAUAGCCUAGCGGCCGAGAGGUUAGCGAAGCUUAUCAAACUCAGAAUGCCAGAGUAUUGAUGCUUGGGAGUCAGACAGUGUCAGAUAAAUGUCAUUGUCAAAAGGGAAACAGCCCAGAUCUACAGCUAAGGUCCCAAAGUCAGGUUAAGUGGAAAACGAUGUGAAGAUACGUAGACAACCAGGAUGUUGGCUCAGAAGCAGCCACACAUUCAAAGAGUGCGUAAUAGCUCACUGGUCGAGCGUCUUUGCGCGGAGAAUUUAACGGGGCUAAACCUGACACCGAAGCUUAGGCAAUACAGCAAUGUAUUGGGUAGGGGAGCGUUGUAUACGCGGUGAAACAGUAGCGCAAGCGGCUGUGGAGUGUAUAGAAGUGAGAAUGCCGGAAUGAGUAGCGCGAAUGCAGUGAGAAUCUGCAUGGCCGAAAGCCUCAGGUUUCUGGAGGAAGGUUCGUCCGCUCCAGGUUAGUCGGGAGCUAAGGUGAGGCCUAACGGCGUAGCCGAUGCACAGACGGUAGAGAUUCCGUCACCACCAAAAGAGUUAAACACAGGGACACAUUUGAAGUCUCGGAGCCGGGUGUUGGUUCCGGUAGCGAUCGAGGGAAAUUAGUACCGAAGUCCGGGAUGGAAGAUGGCGAGAAAAGCUGUGUGUAUUUCUGCGGUGCCCGUACCGCAAACCGACACAGGUAGGUAGGAAGAAGAUUCUAAGGCCAACGGGAGAAGGGUUGUUAAGGAACUCGGCAAAUUGACCCCGUAACUUCGGGAGAAGGGGUGCUCCAGAGAUGGAGCCGCAGAGAAUCGGCCCAAGCAACUGUUUACCAAAAACACAGGUUUGUGCUAAAUCGAAAGAUGACGUAUACGAGCUGACGCCUGCCCGGUGCUGGAAGGUUAAGAGGAGAUGUGCAAGCAUUGAAUCGAAGCCCCAGUGAACGGCGGCCGUAACUAUAACGGUCCUAAGGUAGCGAAAUUCCUUGUCAGGUAAG
rnacentral:rRNA from 1 species